GCAAGUCGAGCGGAAACGACAUUAUUGUUUCUUCGGAUGUUUUAAUGGGCGCGAGCGGCGGACGGUUGAGUAAUGCCUAGGAAAUUGCCUUGAUGUGGGGGAUAACCCUUGGAAACGAUGGCUAAUACCGCAUAAUGCCUACGGGCCAAAGAGGGGGAUCGUCGGAACUCUCGCGUUAAGAUAUGCCUAGGUGGGAUUAGCUAGUUGGUGAGGUAAUGGCCCACCAAGGCGACGAUCCAUAGCUGGUCUGAGAGGAUGAUC
rnacentral:rRNA from 1 species